rnacentral:rRNA from 1 species
UGCGUAGGCGGGGCAAUAAGUCAGUGGUGAAAUCCUGCGGCUUAACCGUAGAAUUGCCAUUGAUACUGUUGUCCUUGAGUAUAGUUGAAGUGGGCGGAAUAUGUAAUGUAGCGGUGAAAUGCAUAGAUAUUACAUAGAACACCAAUUGCGAAGGCAGCUCACUAAGCUAUUACUGACGCUGAGGCACGAAAGCGUGGGGAGCGAACAGGAUUAGAUACCCUGGUAGUCC